rnacentral:rRNA from 1 species
GACGAACGCUGGCGGCGCGCUUAACACAUGCCAGUCGAACGGAAAGGCCUGCUUUCCCUUGUGGAUUGCGGGUACUCGAGUGGCGAACGGGUGAGUAACACGUGAGUGAUCUGCCCCCAACUUGGGUAUAAGCCUGGGAAACUGGGCCUAAUUCCCGAUAGGACUGCAGGGUGGUGCCUGUGGUGGAAAACGAUUUUCUAGUGGUUGGGGAUGAGCUCGCGGCCUAUCAGCUUGUUGGUGGGGUAAUGGCCUACCAAGGCGGCGACGGGUAGCCGGCCUGAGAGGGUGGACGGCCACAUUGGGACUGAGAUACGGCCCAGACUCCUACGGGAGGCAGCAGUGGGGAAUAUUGCACAAUGGGCGGAAGCCUGAUGCAGCGACGCCGCGUGGGGGAUGACGGCCUUCGGGUUGUAAACUCCUUUCGACCGCGAGGAAGCCACCUGGUUGGAAGGGUGGUGACGGUAGUGGUAGAAGAAGCACCGGCUAACUACGUG